rnacentral:rRNA from 1 species
AGAGUUUGAUCAUGGCUCAGAUUGAACGCUGGCGGCAGGCUUAACACAUGCAAGUCGAACGGUAACAGAACUAGCUUGCUAGUUGCUGACGAGUGGCGGACGGGUGAGUAACGCGUAGGAAUCUACCGAAUAGUGGGGGACAACAGUUGGAAACGGCUGCUAAUACCGCAUACGCCCUACGGGGGAAAGGAGGGGAUCUUCGGACCUUUCGCUAUUUGAUGAGCCUGCGUGAGAUUAGUUAGUUGGUGGGGUAAUGGCUCACCAAGGCGACGAUCUCUAGCUGGUCUGAGAGGAUGAUCAGCCACACUGGGACUGAGACACGGCCCAGACUCCUACGGGAGGCAGCAGUGGGGAAUAUUGCACAAUGGGGGAAACCCUGAUGCAGCCAUGCCGCGUGUGUGAAGAAGGCCUUCGGGUUGUAAAGCACUUUCAGUUGUGAGGAAAGGUUAAGGGUUAAUAA